UUUACAUAUGUGCCAAGUGGGGCUGGUUGGUGUCACACCUAGUAGGAUACCAUGUGCAAGGACCUGGGUUCAAGUCCUCAGUCUCUACAUGCAGAGGAGAAGCUUCACAAUCAGUAAAGCUGUGUUGCAGGUAUCUUUCUUUCUUACUUCCUCUCUGUCUCCCCCUUCAAUUUCUCUCUGUUUCUAUCCAAAAAACAUAAAUAAAUAAAUAAAU